rnacentral:rRNA from 1 species
AUUGAACGCUGGCGGCAGGCCUAACACAUGCAAGUCGAGCGGAUGACGGGAGCUUGCUCCUUGAUUCAGCGGCGGACGGGUGAGUAAUGCCUAGGAAUCUGCCUGGUAGUGGGGACAACGUUUCGAAAGGAACGCUAAUACCGCAUACGUCCUACGGGAGAAAGCAGGGGACCUUCGGGCCUUGCGCUAUCAGAUGAGCCUAGGUCGGAUUAGCUUGUUGGUGAGGUAAUGGCUCACCAAGGCGACGAUCCGUAACUGGUCUGAGAGGAUGAUCAGUCACACUGGAACUGAGACACGGUCCAGACUCCUACGGGAGGCAGCAGUGGGGAAUAUUGGACAAUGGGCGAAAGCCUGAUCCAGCCAUGCCGCGUGUGUGAAGAAGGUCUUCGGAUUGUAAAGCACUUUAAGUUGGGAGGAAGGGUUGUAGAUUAAUACUCUGCAAUUUUGACGUUACCGACAGAAUAAGCACCGGCUAACUCUGUGCCAGCAGCCGCCGCAG